ensembl:lncRNA
ACUCUCUCUCACAAUUAUUCAGAUCAUCUGAAGACUCUGACAUUCACUUAUUAUUUACCACAUCAACAGCACUUCACACCGAUGAGAUGAUACACUAUAGAUGAAUCACUUUCAUCGUCACAUUCACCACAAGCUGAAGAAGAUCUCACGGCUUCCGUCUUAUAUAAGGUGCUCUGGACAUAAACACAGGAUGUAUGUGCAUAUAAACCCCACGAAGCACUGGAUCUGGUGGAGGAUAAUGGUGCUGCUUAAUUCAAUUGGAAAACGUUGCCAUGGUUUUACAUUAAUAUGUUUCUAUGUUGCCGGCGCAUUGGUUGUCAUGGAGAUGAUGGGACUUAUUUAAGCUGAAACCUCAGCUUUGGUUGGAAGGAAAGGGGGGGAAAAACACGAGAGAAAAGAAGAGAGAGAAGUCUGUGUGUGUUUUCAUCUCAUUAGAUUUAGAUUUGUUUUUUAACCCACAGUCAAAAGAAAAAAUUGCUACAAAACGGAUCUGUGCCACACAAGUCUUAUUGUGUUUCAUUAGAGAAAGUGAAACAAGCUUUCAGUUUAAUUAAAUGACUUGCAGAGAGCAGCACAUCCUUUCAUAACCCGUGAUUGCUCUCCUGAGCUCUCUGCAAAACCACACCACGAGCUCUUUCUACAACAUGUUGUGAGCAUUUAUUGUAUUCUGUUGAGGGUUUCGGGCAGGUUUCUAUUUACACGGUACAUCCAAGCACGCACUUUAAUUGUCUCACAAUGAAAUAAGCAAUAGCUGGUUAGAAGAACUCCAUAACCUCAGGUGGAUGCGAGCGAGGGUCUGUUAAAGGCAACAUGAAACGGCAUCGACAACACAACAGUGAAUCGAUUUUAUGUUGACUUCAAAGCAAUAGUUCACCUCAAAACUGAAGCUGGCUGAAAAUGUCCUCACACUCAGGUCAUCCAAGAUGUAGAUGAGCUUGUUUCUUCAUCAGAUUUGGAGAAAUGUAGCAUUGCAUCACUUGCUCGCCAAUGGAUGUGAAUGGGUGCCGUCAGAAUGGGAGUCCAAAUAAUCCACAAGUAAUCCACAGUACUCCAGUCCAUCAGUUAACAUCUGGAGAAGACAAAAGAUGAAACAAAUCCAGCAUUAAGGUGUUUUUAAAUAAAAUAUGAGUCUAUAAUCCA